rnacentral:rRNA from 1 species
GACGGAGGGCGCGAGCGUUGUUCGGAAUUACUGGGCGUAAAGCGCGCGCAGGCGGAUGUGGCAAGUCGGAAGUGAAAUCCCGGGGCUCAACCCCGGGACUGCUUCCGAUACUGCUCGUCUAGGGACCGGUAGAGGCUGGUGGAAUUCCCGGUGUAGCGGUGGAAUGCGUAGAGAUCGGGAAGAACACCUGUGGCGAAGGCGGCCAGCUGGGCCGGAUCCGACGCUGAGGCGCGAAAGCGUGGGGAGCAAACAGG